GGAAAAGAAAUUGAGAUAGGGUGGGAGAGGGAUCAUCAUCAGGCUCAUAAGGAAAAGGAAUGGAAGAAACUAAAGCAAACGGCAUACAUUUGUUAGAUCAUAGAGGGACCAAAAAAGAGAAAAACAGUCAAAAGAUGCAUAGAAUGAAGUAGAAAAAGUGGGUGAAAAGAAGGUUGGGUCAUGGAAUGGUUACAUAGUUGCAUGUACAUGUGCUUCAAUAUUGUUUGUGAUAUCAUGCAAUGCAUGAAUUCUAUGACAUGUGGACUAACAAUGGAAGAGAAGAGUCAUUCCAUCUACUUUUCAUAAUCCCCUCAAUUCCACUAACCAGAUUCCAAAUUCAAAUUUUCCGUAUGAAGAUCUUAAACUUUUGCGUGCCAUUAUUCUUUUGGAGACACGGCAUAGAUUAGUUUGCCCGUGGAUUAGACUGACAUUAACUAUAGGCCAAUCCAACUCCAAAAUUCUUCUUUAAACUUCUAGCUAUAUAUCCAUGAUACAAAU
rnacentral:misc_RNA from 1 species